GAUGAACGCUGGCGGCGUGCCUAAUACAUGCAAGUCGAGCGAACGGACGAGAAGCUUGCUUCUCUGAUGUUAGCGGUGGACGGGUGAGUAACACGUGGAUAACCUACCUAUAAGACUGGGAUAACUUCGGGAAACCGGAGCUAAUACCGGAUAAUAUUUUGAACCGCAUGGUUCAAAAGUGAAAGACGGUCUUGCUGUCACUUAUAGAUGGAUCCGCGCUGCAUUAGCUAGUUGGUAAGGUAACGGCUUACCAAGGCAACGAUGCAUAGCCGACCUGAGAGGGUGAUCGGCCACACUGGAGCUGAGACACGGUCCAGACUCCUACGGGAGGCAGCAGUAGGGAAUCUUCCGCAAUGGGCGAAAGCCUGACGGAGCAACGCCGCGUGAGUGAUGAAGGUCUUCGGAUCGUAAAACUCUGUUAUUAGGGAAGAACAUAUGUGUAAGUAACUGUGCACAUCUUGACGGUACCUAAUCAGAAAGCCACGGCUAACUACGUG
rnacentral:rRNA from 1 species